UGGGUUAGGGGUAUUGGGCCUGAUGUUGGGUAGUGGGUUAAUUGGGUUUGGUGGGUAGGACCAGGUUAGGGUCUGUAACCGGGUUUAGUGACUGGGCUUCAACCCGAAUUUAGCCCAUUGUAAUUGGACUAUUUAUUGGACUUUUAAAUUUUGUUUUUUUUGUUUGGUUUUUAUUUUACUAACGGGCCGGGCAAAUUGGGCCUAUUACAGCUGCCCCUCUUUGCUCGUUGUCGUGUAACGGGGGCAGAGCAAAGACUCUAGAAAUGGCCAAUUUUACCCGGUCGUGCUUGGUCUUUGGUGCUUCAAUCCACUUUACCGUGACAUCGGGG
rnacentral:lncRNA from 1 species